rnacentral:rRNA from 1 species
UACGUAGGGGGCUAGCGUUGUCCGGAAUCAUUGGGCGUAAAGAGCGCGUAGGCGGCUAGAUAAGUCCGGUGUGAAAGUCACAGGCUCAACCUGUGAAUGCCGCUGGAAACUGUCUGGCUAGAGUCCGGAAGGGGCGAGUGGAAUUCCUGGUGUAGCGGUGAAAUGCGCAGAUAUCAGGAGGAACACCAAUGGCGAAGGCAGCUCGCUGGGACGGUACUGACGCUGAGGCGCGAAAGCUAGGGGAGCAAACGGG